rnacentral:snRNA from 1 species
GUGCUCACUUCGGCAGCACAUAUACUAAAAUUGGAACGAUUAGCAUGGCCCCUGCGCAAGGAUGACACGCAAAUUCGUGAAGCGUUCCAUAUUUUU